AAAGUUUGAGAGAUUUUUUUUUGUUGCAUGGCCUUUUUUUUUUUAACAAACUAGAAAAGUGUAAAAAUCAUGCAGUACUUGGUUGAUACGUAAUGUUUUAACAACAAAAAUACAGCACUCCUCUCCCCCAUCUUGUCUCAAAAAUGGUUUGAUCCUGCCCAACUUGGGCUCUGAGCCUCUACCUGCAGAGCUAAGCGCUGCCUCCCACAGAAGCAUAUGUUCCAUAGUAGUUCCAAAGAGGGAGAGAUGAAAAAGGGGGAGGAGAGAGUGCAAGGUCAGGAAUAACCAGGGUCUCUGGGGGCUGGAGUCUAUGCCAGCUGACUGAGGGUGAAGACAGGAGACACCUGGACAGGUAACAGUCUAUCGGAGGACUACACUUUCCAGGAUUAAUGACAUCAUCUGAAUUGUAAUGAAUUUAGGAAGAACAUGAACAUCAUUUAUGUGUGUAAAGAGUUAAAUCCUUCUAUGAUUACCUUGUAAUAAAAGUACACAGAAAGGGCAGCAGCUGUAUCUUUAAAAGGAUACAUGGGUAUAAAAUGCAAAAAUAAGACUGGAAUAUCACUCAUGAAAGGCAGAAUGAGCACUACCAAUGACCACAGCAGUAAUAGUAACCUAAAGCCAUCCUAACGCCCUAAAAUGUUUCUGUUUGCUGCCUGAAAGAAACUCUGGAGCUGGAAGUGUUUGCUGAUCUGGUUUUUAAACUUCAGGACAGCGGUCCUAAAGAAUCCCCAUCUGAUGCAUAUGAUGGAAUCUAUGUGCAGGAGAGUUAUGCUGUCCACUAGGUGUUUGGACCAUGAAGAGUCUUAUCGACACAGAGUUUACUGAAGACCGGUGUUGGAGCAUUUCCUUCUCCCCGUCAAAAUCUGGUGUCUGAUGUCUGGACACUGGUGGUGGUGCUGGCAUACAGAUGAGAAGAUGAGAAACCUGUCACCCAGUGGUGCACACUUGUUUAUUCUUGGGGGUAUUUUCUGAUUUUCCCCCUCCCAGUCUGGUACAUCACCGUCCUGGAGCAACAUCUGUCUGGCACCAGCUGCUCCAAAACGGCCCCACACAAGAACCAGCAGACUCAGUAAAGCAUCCUCAUAUUGAGAUCAUGAAAGACUGGUUAUGCAUGAUCUAAACGUAAAUGUAUUGUAAGCAACACAAGAUGUAUAUAACAUCAUGAACAGCUGGACUUUAAUUGACCGUUGAACAGUCAGUGACAAGACAAAUAAGUUAAAAUGAAGAAAAAUGACUAAAUUAAUAUAUUUAUGCAAAUAGCAGUUCAUAUUCGGCCAAGGAACACGGAGAAGUAUUGUGAUGAUCGGCGUACAUUUGUCUGUGAAUCUGUUAGCAACAUACUCAAAAAGGGACUAAUGGAUUUGGAUGAUGUUUUCAGGGAAGGUCAGAAAAGACACAAGGUCUAAGUGAUUAGAUUUUGGCAGUGAUGUGGUUUAUAGUCUGGAUCCAUGGAUUUGUUAAACGUUUCUGUAUCAUUAUGAGAUAGCAGCAUGGUGUCACUGUAACCAUGACAACAAGUGAACACUAUGUCAGCUGCCUGCUGAUGAUUACAUGAUUGUGAUCCUACUACAAAUCCACCGCUUUGGACUUAUCCAUCAGAAAUCAAACAAGGAACAACCGUUGACCUUAGCUUCAGCUGUGGUGUUCCCUGAAGUGGCAGUAUUCACAGAACAAGCAGCAGGCUGAUUGAAACACUGAAAUGUUGUCAUUUGGUUUUGCUUUCUCCAAUGACUAGUGUGGACCAUUCCAUUCAUCUUGUGGUUUGAUUCAAUUAAUCUUCAGGACCGCACAUGCUUAGUACCCAGCAUCACUAGAGUCUGCUCUAAACUCAUCAGACACCCUGUUAGAGCCCUUUCUGUAUAUUGAGACCAGCAAAUAACUCACACUGUUCACAGGAUCCUACACCACCCCUCACUCAAACUACACUGAGUGUUUGAGUGGCUCCCAUCAGGUCGUAGGUUAAGAUGUCCACCUGCAGAACACAGAGGAGGACCUUUGUCUCCACAGCAAUCCAGCUUCUGAACUCUGACCCCUCUCUGUCCAGACAUUACACAAACCCACAACUCAGUGUACACAACCCGUUAGAGUGAAGCACAGAGCACUUUAUUGACAUAGACAAUCUGCAAUUUUUAAAAUUUCACAAUUUUAAAAAUUUAAAAUCAGUUUUAUUGUUUGAUGUUUUGCUUGUUAUUGUCAUGUUCUUUGUUGAUGCUGUUCUUUGCACAUUUUAAUUGCCCCUUGGUGCUAAAUAAAGUGUUUGAAUUGAACUGAAUUGAAAUUCAGGUGGUUGACUCGUUCUCCUCUUCU